GCGGUAAUUCCAGCUCCAAUAGCGUAUAUUAAAGUUGCUGCAGUUAAAAAGCUCGUAGUUGGAUCUUGGGAGCGGGCGGGCGGUCCGCCGCGAGGCGAGCCACCGGCCGUCCCCGCCCCUUGCCUCUCGGCGCCCCCUCGAUGCUCUUAGCUGAGUGUCCCGCGGGGCCCGAAGCGUUUACUUUGAAAAAAUUAGAGUGUUCAAAGCAGGCCCGAGCCGCCUGGAUACCGCAGCUAGGAAUAAUGGAAUAGGACCGCGGUUCUAUUUUGUUGGUUUUCGGAACUGAGGCCAUGAUUAAGAGGGACGGCCGGGGGCAUUCGUAUUGCGCCGCUAGAGGUGAAAUUCUUGGACCGGCGCAAGACGGACCAGAGCGAAAGCAUUUGCCAAGAAUGUUUUCA
rnacentral:rRNA from 1 species